CCCCAGCUUUCCAUUGGCGGAGAGGAGGGGAUGGGGCCCUGCAGCGAUUGUUGGCGUCAGCGGGAGGCAAAGUUCCCAGAAAGUUUCCGGGCUGCUUUACAGCUGGCUACAAGAGCAAUCAGACACCGAUUCUGAACCAGUUAAGGAAAGGAGCUGGUGGAUCUCCCACUUCAUUUUCUCUCCCUUCAGCUGUCUGGAAGACAACAGCCGAUCUCUCUCCCCAGAGCAUUAGGUGACUGUAGGUGGGUGCUUAGAAUGAUGGGUUUAGCCACCUGUCAGGUUACCCAACUCGCUGGUCACUGGUGCGGAUGCCUAUAAAGAGCCCACAUAAGAUUUGACAGGCACUUCGGUGAGUGUUGGUCAGUCAUUAUGUGAGUAGGUGCCUCUGUGGAAGUCAAGUGUCCAAUCUCUCCUGAGGCCUCAGCCAAAUGCCCUUGAAGUUCCCAGCUAAAAGAAGGGUGUGCCUGCAGCGGCCUAACAUAGCUAAUAACAACAACCACAACAAUUUAGUAAAUCUGGCCACCUGGACAGAUCUCAAUCUCUGAGCUGCAUCAGCAACCACACUGUCACUGAAAUGUGCUGGAGUGUAUCUAUGGCCAAAUUUUGUUGGGAGAAGAAAGAAGCUGACUCAGUUAUGGGCUCAUCUUGUAGGUAACAUCUGGACAUGGCAGAAAAAGUGGUUGCCAGGGUUACCAGGGCAUGUUUGUGCCGUGGUUAGGGGACUGUGAGCAAGUGCCCUUAAACACUGUUGUACUUCUUGACACUCCCACUUCAAACUCUUGUCUUUUAUUUGUUUGUAUGUGUGAUUCUGGGUUGAGUGAUUAUUGCAUGUAUGGCUAUACUAUCUUUCUGAUCUGGGAACGAUGGCAUUGGACUUUCUUACACAGACUUGCAAACCUCCCUUGGUGAGGAAGUUGGGUGUUUUCCAAAUUCUGGGUGAGCCUUGUGUUACAAGUCUAACAAGGUAUAUAUUUAAAAAUCUAGAGUUUCUGUCAGGAAUAACCUGUGAUCUAUAACUAAAUUAUUUGUUGAAUUCAUUGCUUGGACUGUAUUUGCAAAUGAUGGGUACUGUACUUAUAUUUUCUUCUAGUGCUCAGUAUUUGUGUGUAUUGCUUCUGUCUUAAAAUUGGAGGUAAACCUAUUUACUUUACAAUGUACAUCAGAUUAAAAAAAAGUUUUGAUACCUGUUCAGAAGCAAAUUUCACACUGAAUUCAGCCUCAUCCUUAGCAUGUAUACUUAGCAAUAAACUUGGUAACGUUUUUGAUUUGGUUCAAAUAUUUUAAUAAAAUAUGUAUUUACUACAGCAUAAACAUAUAAUCUAAAAUAAUAAGCAGGAAAAUAAGCUUUAAAAAAAAUACAUAGGCAGUAAGCAGCUCAAUUCAAAUAUCAUUGCUGAAAACUCAGUUGAUUAUUAAGAAAAUUAAAAUUAACCAUGUAGCAAAUCUAGAAGUCAACUGACUAGAUUUCAGCAAGAUGUUAUUUCACACACAUGUGACUAGGGCUGCCUCUGCAUGCACAUGUAUUUGAGAGCACAGUGUGCGGAGAUUGGUUUCAUCAUACAUCCAGGGCGAGGAGCCCUAUCCUGUCCUCCUAUGUUCUGUGUUUCUCAAAGUACAGGAAGAUAGCAUCAAAAAUGUUUCUUUUGCAUCUGAAUCCUUAGAUACAUAAAUAUUGCUGUUUUCACUGUGCACUCUCGCAUCCCAUUUCAGCAAUGGAAUUUAGUUGUGUUUUAUAAUCCUAAACAUUUGUGAUGAAUCCCAAAUUAAAUUGAAUAAAAAUUCAGUUAUUAUCUGAAUUUUGCAGUCGUCUGAAUUUGAUAAUGCAGUUGCCAGCAAUAAAAAAGGCAUAUUUUGGAAGGGAAAUUGUUGAGAGUUGUGACCCUUCCUGGAGCUUGAGAUACUGGUACAAACAGUCCUCUACUUAUGAACAGGUUACGUUCCAAGAGGCUGUUUAUAAUGUCUGCUUUCAUUUUCAAAUGUUGGUAUUGUAUGCUGAUUUCCUAUUGGCAAACCUUCUCUGAUUAGACUGGUUUAAUUUCAAUUUUUAUCUAAUGCCUUUUUUAUCUGCAAUGCUUGUCUUUGUUAUAUUUUAUUUUAUGUGUUCGUGUAUGUCUGUGCUUGUUGUAUUAUAACGGAUGAUUUGUUUUAUCCUUAGUGGCACAAAUCACAAUUAAAUGCAGUAAAUAAAUGAAUUUCUACAGUGUUUUCCUCGUGUUUCUAAACCAUCCUUCUUCAUCUAACCAUUUUCCUAACAGUGCUUGGAAUUUAAUUGAUUAAACACAACUUUGAAAGUG